rnacentral:rRNA from 1 species
AGAACGAACGCUGGCGGCGUGGAUAAGACAUGCAAGUCGAGCGGAGUACUAUUUGUAGCAAUACAAGUAGUGCUCAGCGGCGCAAGGGUGCGUAACACGUGGGCAACCUGCCCGGAAGUGGGGGACAGCUCGCCGAAAGGCGAAUUAAUACCGCAUGUGACGAAGGAAGACAUCUUCUGUAGUCAAAGCUGGGGCAACCUAGCGCUUACUGGAUGGGACCCGCGGACCUAUCAGCUAGUUGGAGAGGUAACGGCUCCCCAAGGCUAUGACGGUAGCGUGGUCUGAGACGGACGACCAGCCACACUGGAACUGAAGACGACGGUCAAGACUACGUACGGGUGCAGGC